rnacentral:rRNA from 1 species
AUACGGAGGGGGCAAGCGUUAUUCGGAAUCACUGGGCGUAAAGGACGCGUAGGCGGGUUGGCAAGUCAGAUGUGAAAUCCUACAGCUUAACUGUAGAACUGCAUUUGAAACUGCUAACCUAGAGUAUGGGAGGGGGAGAUGGAAUUAGUGGUGUAGGGGUAAAAUCCGUAGAUAUCACUAGGAAUACCGAAAGCGAAGGCGAUCUCCUGGAACAUAACUGACGCUAAGGCGUGAAAGCGUGGGGAGCAAACAGGAUUAGAUACCCUAGUAGUCC